rnacentral:rRNA from 1 species
CACCAGACUCCUACGGGAGGCAGCAGUGGGGAAUAUUGCACAAUGGGGGAAACCCUGAUGCAGCGACGCCGCGUGAGCGAUGAAGUAUUUCGGUAUGUAAAGCUCUAUCAGCAGGGAAGAAGAUGACGGUACCUGACUAAGAAGCCCUGGCUAACUACGUGCCAGCAGCCGCGGUAAUACGUAGGGGGCAAGCGUUAUCCGGAUUUACUGGGUGUAAAGGGAGCGUAGACGGCGAUGCAAGCCAGAUGUGAAAGCCCGGGGCUCAACCCCGGGACUGCAUUUGGAACUGUGUGGCUGGAGUGUCGGAGAGGCAGGCGGAAUUCCUAGUGUAGCGGUGAAAUGCGUAGAUAUUAGGAGGAACACCAGUGGCGAAGGCGGCCUGCUGGACGAUGACUGACGUUGAGGCUCGAAAGCGUGGGGAGCAAACAGGAUUAGAUACCCGUGUA